AAAAGAUUUACACUACCAGGAGAUACAAGCAGAGGAAAUUUCUCCCUGAUGAUCAGUUCAGUAGCCUACAAUGAUGCAGGCUCUUACAAGUGCAGUUGUAAUGAAAUAUCAGUGACUGAAGUAAAGCUGAAAGUUAUCAUUCCGACAGUUGUAAAGGCUUUACGAGGGGAAGAACGUCACUCUCCCAUGUUACGGAGACACUCGACAAGUCGUUAAAGAUGUAAAGUGGAAGAAAGAUGGACACGAGGUUCUGCUGUACACUCCUGCAAACAGAUGGAUGACUAAACAAAACAGAUUCACGAUGUCAGUAGAAGGCUUUCUAGACGGUGAUCUCUCUCUUCACAUCAGUCCAGUUCACCUGUCUGAUACAGGAUUAUAUCAGUGUCUCAUCCACGAUGAAUCUCAGGACGGAGAACCACGAGCUGUGUUACUGAAGGUAGAAGGGCAACAACAAUUCACAAUCACCAAAAGCGCUCCAGUUUCAGAAUGGUUUGUACUGCUAGUAUUGUU